rnacentral:rRNA from 1 species
GCCGCGGAUUCGCUAGGAUUGGGCCGCACAAGUAGGUGGAGCAUGUGGGUGAAUUCGAUGAUACGCGAGGAACCUUACCUAGGCUAGAAAUGCGCGUGACCGGCUCAGAGAUGAGCCUUUCCUUCGGGACGCAAAGCAAGGUGCUGCAUGACCGUCAUCAACUCGAGCCAUGAGGUGUUGGGUUAAGUCCCGCAACGAGCGCAGGCCCUAUGUUUAGUUGGCAGCAUGUAAUAAUGGGGACUCUAGACAGACUGCCUGCGCAAGCAGUGAGGAAGGCGGGGACGACGUCAGGUCAUCAUGGCCCUUACGCCUAGGGCGACACACGUGCUACAAUGGACGGUACAGCGGGUAGCUGCACAGCGAUGUGAUGCCAAUCUCGAAAAGCCGUUCUCAGUUCGGAUUGGAGUCUGCAACUCGACUCCAUGAAGCUGGAAUCACUAGUAAUCGCGCAUCAGCCAUGGCGCGGUGAAUACGUUCCCGGGCCUUGUACACACCGCCCGUCAAGCCAUGAAAGUCUGGUAGACCUGAAGCUGGUGCUCCGCAACGAAGCCAGUUAGGGUAGAACAGGUAAUUAGGGCUAAGUCGUAACAAGGUAGCCGUACCGGAAGGUGCGGCUGGAUCACCUCCUU